rnacentral:rRNA from 1 species
UACUCCUACGGGAGGCAGCAGUGGGGAAUUUUGGACAACGGGCGAAAGCCUGAUCCAGCAAUGCCGCGUGUGUGAAGAAGGCCUUCGGGUUGUAAAGCACUUUUGUCCGGAAAGAAAUCCUUGGCUCUAAUACAGUCGGGGGAUGACGGUACCGGAAGAAUAAGCACCGGCUAACUACGUGCCAGCAGCCGCGGUAAUACGUAGGGUGCAAGCGUUAAUCGGAAUUACUGGGCGUAAAGCGUGCGCAGGCGGUUUGCUAAGACCGAUGUGAAAUCCCCGGGCUCAACCUGGGAACUGCAUUGGUGACUGGCAGGCUAGAGUAUGGCAGAGGGGGGUAGAAUUCCACGUGUAGCAGUGAAAUGCGUAGAGAUGUGGAGGAAUACCGAUGGCGAAGGCAGCCCCCUGGGCCAAUACUGACGCUCAUGCACGAAAGCGUGGGGAGCAAACAGGAUUAGAUACCCUGGUAGUCCACGCCCUAAACGAUGUCAACUAGUUGUUGGGGAUUCAUUUCCUUAGUAACGUAGCUAACGCGUGAAGUUGACCGCCUGGGGAGUACGGUCGCAAGAUUAAAACUCAAAGGAAUUGACGGA